GACGAACGCUGGCGGCGUGCUUAACACAUGCAAGUCGAACGAAGUGGCGAACGGGUGAGUAACGCGUAAUCAACCUGCCCUUCAGAGGGGGCCAACAGUUGGAAACGACUGCUAAUACCGCAUACUGAAGGAGGGGAUUGCGUCUGAUUAGCUGGUUGGGGGGGUAACGGCCCACAAAGGCGAUGAUCAGUAGCCGGUCUGGGAGGAUGAACGGCCACAUUGGGACUGAGGCACGGCCCAGACUCCUACGGGAGGCAGCAGUGGGGAAUCGUCCGCAAUGGACGAAAGUCUGACGGAGCAACGCCGCGUGAGUGAUGAUGGCCUUCGGGUUGUAAAGCUCUGUUAAUCGGGACGCGGUACCGGAAUAGAAAGCCACGGCUAACUACGUGCCAGCAGCCGCGGUAAUAC
rnacentral:rRNA from 1 species